GUACAAUCCCCUGAUCAGCACCACCAGAUAGUGAAAAUCCUUAUAUGGUCCUUCGAACUUCUGCUCUCCUGCAUCUAUAACAUAACUGAAGUGUUUCCUGACUGAAGCACAACGAUCUCAGAGUGCUGCUGAACCGUGUUCCAGCUACAGCAUGAAGACGGUGCUUUUGUUCUAUCUUCUUGUGUGCUGUGGAGCUGCAGAAGGUUUCACAGAGAAGUUGGUGGAUUUGGGACAAACUGUGACUUUACAGUGUGAAGUGGCUGUAAGAUAUGUUUCCUGGUUCCUGAUGAAGCCGUCAGAACCUCCAAUGUAUAUUUUACGCUCUUUCUCAAGUAGAAUUCUGGAUCCAGACUACAGUAACCAGACCCUCAGAAAGAUUUUCUCAGUGCAAUACAACAGCAGUUUAUUUAUACACAAUAUCAGUACUAAUGAAUUAGGAGAGUAUCAUUGUUUUAAGUAUGGUUUACCUUUUAAAAUCAGCCCUGGAAUCAGACUUGCCACCCAGAAUCAUUCAGCUGCUUCGGGUUUAAAAAAUCAGACGAGUAAACCUGUCCAUCAGCAGAGUGAAGAGAAUGGAUUGACCCUUUUGCCGUCUCUCAUUUUAUCAGUAAUAAUAAACUGCACUCUGGUCAUCACAGUUACAGUUUUUGUGUGCCGUCGCUGCCGAAGGCCUCUGAAAACCCGAGAGCAGCCUCCAGAUCCAGUCGUCAAGAGACCGCACCGACCUCGUGUACUCACAGGUGAAGUUCAUCUUGCAUUAAGGACGCACCAAGACCAAGAACCUCAACUGCACGUACGCUCUCCUGCACCUCCCGAACCCGAGAGAUCUCAGAGUGAUACCCAAAUAUCCCCAAGUAAUCUCCAGAUAUCCCUGAAUGAUCUCUGAGUGAUCCCCAAAUUAUCCCCAAGUCAUCCCCAGAGAUCCUUAAGUGAUCCCCCAACUGACUCCACACAACAUAUGAACUUUAUAAAAUGUAUCUUUAAGAAGCUUCAUUUCUUCUGCAGUUACCGAUAUGUAUCGGACAAUACACGUAACGGAAGCAAAUGUAAAUAAAGUGAAGGUGGCAUCACGUCCCAGGCAAGCGCUCCGAACACGACAACCAUAUCAGCACCCGUGUUGUGGAAAGCUGCAGAGCACAUGGCAUAACGAGGCACGGCUGGAAGCUCAUGACGAGACCACUACCUCCCCUUGCUCAUCAAGGAGAACACCCAUUAGGGGCGGCGCUACAUCGGAAGCUCCAGCGGGCACGGCGUUAAGGACUAAUUCGCAGUUCCAUAUAAAAUUUAACUCCUUCUUUUUUCCGGCACUCCUGUAAAACUAUAAAUAAAGAAAUCUUGUGAUUUUUCCUUUGA